rnacentral:lncRNA from 1 species
AUGACAUCUGCAAAGACCCCUGGUCUUUUACAUCACAGGCUCUGGGGCUUCGGGACAACGACCUGUCUUUUGAGGGCCACCAUUCAACCAGCUACAAUCACCUUGAAAAAACAGUUUAUGGGAGUUCCCGUCGUGGCGCAGUGGUUAACGAAUCCGACUAGGAACCAUGAGCCUCAAGUAUCUGAGACCAAGGUCAUUCACGAUGCCUGGGCACACGGUUUCUCUCUCCCUGUGAUGUCGUUCUCGAGACCGCUCCUAUGACUGCUGCUGCGGAGACACGGAGCCAAUCCAGAGCGGACUGCCAGUGACGACACCAGUCGCCAAGGCCUCCAAGGGCCCAGAACAUAGUGGCGCCCUCUGGCGGGGAAAGGGAGGCAGUAUGUGAGAGACAGCCAAUCUGGUCAGCUGACUUCGGCCAAGUUCCAGUGCCUGGUGCAACACCCCCUGGCAACUCAAGUCACUUUCCAUCUCCAGAAACCCGACCAGAAGAGAGACAUGCUGAGAGGAAGCAAAGAUCAAGAAUCCUGGCAUCCAAUCAGAUACAGGAAUUAACGCAACAGCCGUCCAAUCAGAUGAGCGGAUCCAACCAAAUAGAGCAGGUAUCCAAGUAGAUGGGGCAGAGUUGCCAUGACGACUCGAGUCUCUACAGGGUUUGCAGGGUCCCCGCGCUCAGACGCUUUUGAGCGCCCCCUGGCGCUUGGCCCCUUACUCCAGCAAGCGCGUGCUGGCUGAAGGCAGCCAAUAAGGCCGGGUACAGCCUCCGUGACGUCACUAGUUGCGGAGCGGGCCCCCGGAGUGCGUGAGCUCGAAGGCGAGUUCGCGUGAGCUCUUGCGAGCCCGCGGGCGGGUCGCGCGCGCUUUCUCCAGUGCGGUGGUUGGUGCGCAUGCGCUCGUGUUUCUCUUUCUUUUUUUUUUUCAGCGUGAGGCGCGAUAAAAGGCGGGAAAGAGCCUGAGGCGAAGCGUGAGGUGAGACGACCAGGUGGACCAGGGGGACGACCGGGUUGACUGACGGACCCAUGGACGGAGGGGGACCCCCUCUGAGCCGGAAACGCUCUGGCAGAGGAUGUGGCCUCUUAAAAAAUCUUCCUGAGGGACAGAGCCCCAGAGAUGGCCCGACAGAGAAAGGCUAGAGGAAAGUGACGCCCCCUACACACACACACACACACACACACACACGCGACGGUGCAGCCAGUUAGAAAGUCGCAGGGGUGGAGACGCUGGAAGCGACGAAGGAAGACAUUGAGGUGCCCCGGGGAAGGAC